rnacentral:rRNA from 1 species
AGUGAACGCUGGCGGUAGGCCUAACACAUGCAAGUCGAACGACAGCACAGUAAGAGCUUGCUCUUACGGUUGGCGAGUGGCGGACGGGUGAGGAAUACAUCGGAAUCUACUUUUUCGUGGGGGAUAACGUAGGGAAACUUACGCUAAUACCUCAUACGACCUACGGGUGAAAUCAAGGGAUCUUCGGACCUUGCGCGAUUGAAUUAGCCGAUGUCGGAUUAGCUAGUUGGCGGGGUAAAGGCCCACCAAGGCGACGAUCCGUAGCUGGUCUGAGAGGAUGAUCAGCCACACUGGAACUGAGACACGGUCCAGACUCCUACGGGAGGCAGCAGUGGGGAAUAUUGGACAAUGGGCGAAAGCCUGAUGCAGCCAUACCGCGUGGGUGAAGAAGGCCUUCGGGUUGUAAAGCCCUUUUGUUGGGAAAGAAAAGCAGCAGGUUAAUACCCCGCUGUUCUGACGGUACCUAAAGAAUAAGCACCGGCUAACUUCGUG